rnacentral:hammerhead_ribozyme from 1 species
AUCCAGCUGACGAGUUCCAAAUAGGACGAAACGCGCGUCCAACUGGAU